rnacentral:rRNA from 1 species
UGGGGAAUAUUGGGCAAUGGGCGCAAGCCUGACCCAGCAACGCCGCGUGAAGGAAGAAGGCCCUCGGGUUGUAAACUUCUUUUAUCAGGGACGAAGAAGUGACGGUACCUGAUGAAUAAGCCACGGCUAACUACGUGCCAGCAGCCGCGGUAAUACGUAGGUGGCAAGCGUUAUCCGGAUUUACUGGGUGUAAAGGGCGUGUAGGCGGGAUCGCAAGUCAGAUGUGAAAUUCCAGGGCUUAACCCUGGACCUGCAUUUGAAACUGUGAUUCUUGAGUGAUGGAGAGGCAGGCGGAAUUCCGUGUGUAGCGGUGAAAUGCGUAGAUAUACGGAGGAACACCAGUGGCGAAGGCGGCCUGCUGGACAUUAACUGACGCUGAGGCGCGAAAGCGUGGGGAGCAAACAGGAUUAGAUACCC